rnacentral:rRNA from 1 species
AGUGGCGAACGGGUGAGUAAUAUAUCGGAACGUACCUUGUAAUGGGGGAUAACUAGUCGAAAGAUUAGCUAAUACCGCAUACGCCCUGAGGGGGAAAGUAGGGGAUCUUCGGACCUUACGUUAUAAGAGCGGCCGAUAUCUGAUUAGCUAGUUGGUGGGGUAAUGGCCUACCAAGGCGACGAUCAGUAGCUGGUCUGAGAGGACGACCAGCCACACUGGAACUGAGACACGGUCCAGACUCCUACGGGAGGCAGCAGUGGGGAAUUUUGGACAAUGGGCGCAAGCCUGAUCCAGCCAUUCCGCGUGAGUGAAGAAGGCCUUCGGGUUGUAAAGCUCUUUCGCAAGGGAAGAAAACUUACAUUCUAAUAAAGUGAGGUUGACGGUACCUUGAUAAGAAGCACCGGCUAACUACGUGCCAGCAGCCGCGGUAAUACGUAGGGUGCGAGCGUUAAUCGGAAUUACUGGGCGUAAAGCGUGCGCAGGCGGUUUUGUAAGUCAGAUGUGAAAUCCCCGAGCUCAACUUGGGAACUGCGUUUGAAACUACAAGACUAGAAUAUGUCAGAGGGGGGUAGAAUUCCACGUGUAGCAGUGAAAUGCGUAGAGAUGUGGAGGAAUACCAAUGGCGAAGGCAGCCCCCUGGGAUAAUAUUGACGCUCAUGCACGAAAGCGUGGGGAGCAUACAGGAUUAGAUACCCUGGUA